AUUUAAAAUUGAUUUAAAUCUUUUAGUUAAAUUUAAAAUUUAAAUAAAAAUUUAGAAAUUAAAAAUUUUUAGUAUUAAUUGGAAAAAAAAGUUAUUAUUUUUUAAUUGUAAAAGUAAUUUAAAAUAAAAAAAAGAAGAUUUUGUUUAUUGUACCUUUUGUAUCAGGGAUUAUUAAAAUUAAAUGUUAAUAUUAAUAUAUCUCGAAUUAAAAAGAGCUAAUUUAAUAUGAUAGUUAAUGUAGAAUAAUUAUUAUAAAUUUUAAAUUUGAAAUGAAAUGUUAAACGAUUUUUAAGAUAUCUAGUUUUUUAAUAUAAAAAUUUAAUUUUUUUAUAAAUUUAAUUAUUAAUAAUUAAGGAUUAUUAAUUAAUUUAUAGAGAAGAAUUUAUGGGAUUAUCUAUAAAUUUAAAUUAAAUGAUAUAUUUAUAAUUUAAAAUUUAGAAAUUAAAAUUUUUAAAAUUAAAAAGUUUUUAAUAAUUUAUUAUUUAGAAUUAAUUUGAUUUUUAAAGUUAUUAAUUUAUUAUUAAAAUAAAUUUAUAAAUUUUUUAUAAGUUAAAAUAAUGAUAAUAUUAGUAUAAAUAAAUUGUUAAAUUAAUUGUUUUGUUAAAUUAAUUUAAGGAAUUAAGCAAAUUUAAAAAUUCACUUGUUUAUCAAAAACAUGUUUUUUUGAAAUUAAUAAAAAAUUUUCUCUGCCCAAUGAUAAAUUAAAUGGCCGCAGUAUUUUGACUGUGCAAAGGUAGCAUAAUAAAUAGCUUUUUAAUUGAAGGCUAGAAUGAAUGAGAGGAUGAAAUUUUAACUGUCUCAAUUUAAUUAUAAAAUUUUAUUUUAAGUUAAAAUUCUUAAAUAAAUUUAAGGGACGAGAAGACCCUAUAGAAUUUAAAAAUUAAAUUUAAUUUUGGAGAUAAUAUUAAAUUAAAAUUAUUUUAAAAUUUUUUUAUUGGGAUGAUAUUUAAAUUUAAAUAACUUAAAAUUAUUAAAUUCAAUGAUUAAUGAAUUUAAGAGUAAAUUUAAUAAAUAAAAGAUAAAAUUACCUUAGGGAUAACAGCGUAAUAAAUUUUUAAAGUUCAAAUUAAAAAAUUUGAUUGCGACCUCGAUGUUGAAUUAAAAUAAAAUUUAAGUGAAGAAGC
rnacentral:rRNA from 1 species